GCGCCGGUAGUCUAGCAGGAUAACGCCAUCCCGACACGAUGGAGAUCGACGGUGCGAAACCGUCCCGGUGCACCA
rnacentral:tRNA from 1 species